GUGGACCUGACCUAGUCGGGCGAGCCCUUUAAGGCAGAGAGCUUUCUCCACUGGUCAUGAAGAGAAGUCACAGAAGUGACUGGCCUGGGAGAAAGCGAACCUCCAUGUUGUGAAUGGCCUAUGGGGACCAUGUCACAAACAAGGCCAGUGGCCUCUGGGAGCUGAGUGUGAUCCCCUCCGGACACCUAGCAAGAAAAUUCGGGACUCAUUCCUGCUAGUUCACAAGGGACUGAGUUCUGCCAACAACCUGAAUGAGCUUCGAAGGAAACCCCGAGACUCAGAUAAGAAGUGCGGCCGGCACUCGGACUGCAGCCUUGGGAGACCCUGAGCAUGAAUCCAGGAAAGCUGUGCCCACAUUCCUCCUGAUCCAUGGAAAAUGUUACUCCUCCAUUCCUCUUUUGAAGAAUCUUGGACAUUUGAACUGAGUUUCCCAGUCUGGAUUUUGCAGAUUGCCCACCGAUGGUUCAGUUCAACAUGACCCAUGUGUGUCUUGAAAAUUGGAAGCUGGAUCCAGGAGCUUGACCAGAUUCAGGCUUGUUUUCUCUGAAGGCUCAGAGGAGUCCGUAGCAUUCAUCUUCAUAGCCCUCAUGUAGAAGUACAAAGGGCAAGCCAGAGCUGAAAAGGAUUUUAAUAAGUGAAAAGAAGAGACGCCUCUGCUCCUCUUCUCCACCACUGAAUGCCCUCAGCACCUUUUUCCUCUUACUCUCCAAAUCCUAGAGUUCCCCGAAACGGAGAGGUCAGACCCGCCUCUUCUUGCUGCUCGGGAGGGACCUGCGCAGCUUCGUCAUUUGGAGCGGGCUGGAGUAUGACUGCAUGCCCACAUGGGGACCACACAGGGCACG